rnacentral:rRNA from 1 species
CCUACGGGGGGCAGCAGUGAGGAAUAUUGGUCAAUGGGCGUAAGCCUGAACCAGCCAAGUCGCGUGAGGGAUGAAGGUUCUAGGGAUCGUAAACCUCUUUUAUAAGGGAAUAAAGAGCGGGACGUGUCCCGUUUUGUAUGUACCUUAUGAAUAAGGAUCGGCUAACUCCGUGCCAGCAGCCGCGGUAAUACGGAGGAUCCGAGCGUUAUCCGGAUGUAUUGGGUUUAAAGGGUGCGUAGGCGGCCUUUUAAGUCAGCGGUGAAAGUCUGGGGCUAAACCAUAGAAUUGCCGUUGAAACUGGGAGUCUUGAGUAUGUUUGAGGCAGGCGGAAUGCGUGGUGUAGCGGUGAAAUGCUUAGAUAUCACGCAGAACCCCGAUUGCGAAGGCAGCCUGCCAAGCCAUGACUGACGCUGAUGCACGAAAGCGUGGGGAUCAAACAGGAUUAGAUACCCGUGUAGUC